rnacentral:rRNA from 1 species
AUACGUAGGGGGCAAGCGUUAUCCGGAUUUACUGGGUGUAAAGGGAGCGUAGGCGGCAAGACAAGUCUGAUGUGAAAGCCCGGGGCUCAACCCCGGGACUGCAUUGGAAACUGUUUAGCUAGAGUGUCGGAGAGGUAAGUGGAAUUCCUAGUGUAGCGGUGAAAUGCGUAGAUAUUAGGAGGAACAUCAGUGGCGAAGGCGACUUACUGGACGAUAACUGACGCUGAGGCUCGAAAGCGUGGGGAGCAAACAGGAUUAGAUACCCUGGUAGUCCACGCCGUAAACGAUGGGUACUAGGUGUAGGGGGUAUCGACUCCCCCUGUGCCGCCGUUAACACAAUAAGUACCCCGCCUGGGGAGUAUGGUCGCAAGAUUAAA